GGUGCCUCUAGCUUUCAUGUCUUCAACUUCUCCGGUUUUGUGGAAUCACCUUCCAUUUUCCAAAAUCCCUGAGGGUUCUUUGGGGCAGAAGGCUAACAAGCCCUGAGAUGAAUGAUGCUCUUCCCAAGGAAGGCAGAGGAGGCGACAGUCCAUUUGCGUUCUCUCCUCUGCAAGUACAGGAUCUCGUUUGAUUCUCAAAACCACCCUAGAGGAGACAGGAGGCACCUGAGGCCCAGAGACGUGAAGCCACCUGUCCAAGGCCAUACAGCAGG
rnacentral:lncRNA from 1 species